GCAUAGCUUAAGGACAAAGGUACGGUUGUGGUGAAUAACAAGCAAAGGAUCCCAAACUAACCAGUUCACACAUCCAUACAUCUAAUGCCUCAUCAUGUGAGUGGUUCCUCUCAGAAACUGUUAUUAGGUACGGAGAAGGAAACACAUGUCCUUGAUGAAGUAAGAAAAAUAAAAAAGACUUCGGAAGUUGAAAAUAAUGGCAAAUGGGGAAUGAUACAGCUUUGCAUGGGUUCUAAUAAAAAAAAGUCUCAGAAGAGAAAAAAAUAAUAUUUUCAUAAAAAUCCCUUUUGGAAGGCAUCCAGACAGGCGAGGUCAAUUCUAGCUUGGAGGCAAGCCGCUGUGACUAUUUUGAGAUUUCCAAGCAGGAAAGCCACAGGGGUGAAGUGCAGCUGGAAGAGAGGGAGCCAAGAGUUUCAUCAGCAAAGACUUCAUCUUGACUUGUUUUGCAAAGAAACAAAGGUGGGAGGUCUUUGCUCUUCCUCAGGGAUGUGUUGAAUAUUCAAAAAUAUUAAUUUUGGAGCAACAGUGCCUACAAUUUUGGAAACAAGCUAAGUCAGAGCUAUAGUUGAUUGAAUUGGCAGAAAGCUCCUUUGAAUCUCCUGAGGACGCCCAUUCUAAGUCUCCAUGGCCCUUCAACAAGAAAUCAAAAUGACACAACAUACAGACCAGGAAGUCUCCAGAUGGACUACAACCUCUGGGCACCCCCAAAUGUCCAAUGUCCAACACAAACCAUAAUCCAGUAUUUAAGAUGAGCCUAGAAUUUUUAAUAAUUGCAAGGGAAAUAGCUUCAUUUGACAAUCCACAAAGUGCUGCAAUUAUAGGUAGGGUGUUUUCAGCCUUACAGGUGGCUCUUCCAGAAUACAGGGCCAGUUCCACACAACAAUGCCCCUAGCAUUUUUAUGUACUUUGAUGCCCUUUUUCUCUACCUCUAGAUACUAGGUUUAAUCCUAUUCCCCAGCACCCCAUUCUGAAUCAUCAUCACCAGACAACUUCCUCUUGUGUCCUCCCAAUUGAAGGCCUGACUGUACAACUCCCUUGGUACUUUCUGCUUAGUAGCUGUUUAUUUGAAUGUAUAAAUGUGUAAACAGGAAUAGAGGUUCAAUGUGUUCUUUUUCCUGGAAGUAUUCGUAUUAUUAACUUUAGAAUUAAUGAAUUAAUUCAAGAGAAUUAUUAACUAAUGGGGGGACUUUUAGGAACCAGGAAGGAUUAGAGAGGGUAUCAGAGGGCAUCUCUGUUGCAAGACAGAGACAGUUACUGUUUAGAUCCAUUUCUGAGUAAUUUCAGCUCUGUUUCCAGGAAUAUACUUAAGAAAAUAUUCUGAUCACCCAAGAUAGGAUUUUUUUUUUUUUUGAGACAGAGUCUUGCUCUGUCACCCAGACUGGAAUGCAGUGGCACGAUCUUGGCUCACUGCAACCUCCGCCUCCCAGAUUCAAGCGAUUCUCCUGCCUCAGCCUCCCAAGUAGCUGAGAUUACAGGCACCCACCACCAUGCCUGGCUAAUUUUUGUAUAUUUAGUAGACACGGGGUUUCACCAUGUUGGCCAGGCUGGUCUCGAACUCCUGACCUCAGAUGAUUUGCCUGCCUCAGCCUCCCACAUGGUAGGAUUUAUAACUCAUGGAGUUCCAUCACAAAAGGAAAAAAAAAUUGUUUGUGUUUUGUAUUUUCUUCCAGUCCUAGAUUGCAGGAAUCAACAUUGUAAAAAUUUCAAAAAUUUUCACAAAUUGAUUUGUAAAUUUGAUGGACAGAGGUAUGGAUAGACAUAUGAUAAGUAUAAAUGUAAAAUAUUAACGGCAGAAUCAAAGUGAUGAAUAUGAAUGUGUUCACUAUAAAAUUCUGUCCACUUUUUCAUAUGUUGAAAGUUUUUAUAGUAAAAUAUUAGGAAAAAUAUGCUACUGUUAUAACAAUAAUUAUAGAAAAGUGUUUGUUUCCCAAUAUCUGUACUUAUUUCACAAUAAUUUAUUUUAAAUUGGAAUUACUGAGUCAAAUGAUGAGUAUUUCAAGGAUUUUAACAUUUAUUAUAAAAUAUUUUCCCAAACAUUUGUUCCAAGUUACACUUUCACCAGUAGAAUAUCUGAGACUGUUGGGAUAGCAUUUCUUAAAAAUAUAAACAACUUUAUUGUUACAACUGGCACAACUGGCACACAGUGAAAUUUACAAAUCUGAAAUGUACAGCUCAGCAAGUUUGUAUAAAGGUAUGUACCUAUGUAACCAACACCUCUAUACAGACAGUUUCCGUUACUGUAGAGAAUGCCCUGAUGUUUCUUACCAGCUAUUUCCUACCCACCCCACCUCAGGCAACAAUUCUGCUAAUUUCUUUUUACCAAGAUUAGGCUGAUAUUUUCUAGAGUUUCAUGUAAAUUAAGUGAUACAGUAUAUACUACUCUGAGUCUGUCUUCCUUUUCUCAGUAUGUUUUAAGGAUUCAUCCAUGUUAUUUCAUGUUUUUAUAGUACUUUGUUCCUUUUUAUUGCUUAGUAGUAUUUCAUUGUAUAGAUAAACCAUAAUCUCUUUAUUAAUUCUUUUGUUGAUGAACAAGAGAUAGCUUUUAAAUUUUUUAAAUAUUACAAUUUUUUGUAUCCUGAUUCCAUUCAUAUAAAAAAGUAAUUGUGUGCAUUAGACCAAGAUCUUUGAAGUCAAUGGCUGUGCACAAAUAAAUGGAUAAUGUGUAGUGAGAGUUUUAGGCAUCUGUUUCAGGUCAGAGGAAAGAUACCUGCAGGAAGGUGAAACUGCAGGCACCUAGUAUUACCCAGAGGUUGGAGCUGUAUAGACAUAGAAAUAGCACUUUAAAGUUGUUCUUUCUCUACAAUGUAUUUCUCUUUAAAACAAAUAAAUGAUCUAUAAGAAAAGACCCACUAUUUUAUGGCCAAUUUCUGUUUUCUUUUUUUUUUUAUAAAUAAAAGAAUCUUUAAUAUGCAUUUGCUUAACGUUUAUCCUGGAAAAGGCACAAGCUUCUUUUAUUGCAGC
rnacentral:lncRNA from 1 species